ACGCGGCCAGCUGCGGGGGCAGCCCUCAGUCGGGUCCACGUGGCAGUACGCCAGCGCCGAGCUCGAAGUUUCCCUCACGUCGAGGGACGUGUUUUCUAACGUACAGGAACUUCAGCAUGUAACCGCACUAUAGGGACCUCAGUGUACCCCUCUUCACAGCACAAACAGAUACGUUUGGAAAUGGAGGUGGAGGAGGCGUAUGAAAAAGGAGAGAAUACUCAGGGGAAAAUGACUCGAGCUGAAGCUGCAAAAUUAGUGAAAAAGAACUUUCUGGAAGCCCUGAAGUCCAAUGACUAUGAAACACUGGAAGAGCUCUUGAACCAAAAGAAAAUAGAUGUGGACACGGUGUUUGAAGUGGAAGAUGAGAAUCUGAUUCUGGCAUCCUACAAACAAGGAUACUGGCUGCCUAGUUACAAAUUAAAAAUAUCCUGGGCAACUGGACUUCAUCUGGCUGUCAUGUAUGGGCAUCUGGAGAGUCUUUCAGUCCUGCUCAAUCACAAAGCUACGAUCAACUGCCGGCCCAAUGGGAAAGCUGCAAUCCACAUAGCGUGUGAAACAGCAAAUGUUGAGUGUCUCAAGAUCCUCUGCAAUCAUGGGGCCAAGCUGAACUGCUUUUCAAUGAGUGGGCAGGCGCCCUUGCACUUCUGUACAACACUAACCUCCAUUCCUUGUGCCCAGCAGCUGAUUUGGAGAGGAGCCAACGUGAACAUAAAAACCAACAACCAAGAUGAGGAGACCCCUCUGCACACUGUUGCGCGUUUGGGUAUCCCCGAGCUCGUGGCUUUCUAUGUGGAACAAGGGGCGCAGGUCGAUGCUCUCAAUGCCCACAUGGAGACCCCCCUGGCUUGUGCAGUCUACUGGGCCCUUCACUACAAGGACCAGACAUACAGCCCCGACCACCACCUCAUCUGCCGGAUGCUCUUAGACUACAAAGCUGAAGUGAACACUCGUGAUGAGGACUUCAAAUCUCCACUCCACAAAGCUGCCUGGAACUGUGAUCAUGUACUGCUUCACAUGCUGCUGGAAGCAGGAGCAGAAGCCAACAUCAUGGAUGUCAAUGGCUGUGCACCCCUACAGUAUAUCAUAAAAGUGACAUCUGUGAGGCCAGCUGCCCAGCCUGAUGUCUGCUACCAGCUGCUACUGAAUCAUGGAGCAGCCAGGAUAUAUCCCCUGCAGUUUCACAAGGUGCUGCAAGCCUGUCAUUCCUACCCCAGGGCUGUGGAGGUGGUUGUCAACACCUAUGAACACAUCAAAUCAACAUCAAAGUGGAAAGCGGCCAUACCUGAUGAUGUCUUUGAGCGGCACCAGGAUUUCUACGACUCCUUAUUCAAUGUGUGCAGCAAUUCACCACGGUCCCUCAUGCACUUAUGCAGAUGUGCUAUUCGGAUGACACUGUCAGAACGAUGCCACCGAGGCGUCCCUUUGCUCUCCAUCCCACUGUCCAUGAAGAAGUACUUGCUGCUGGAACCAGAAGGAAUAAUCUACUGAGCCAGUGCCCUGCUGCUGCCUGCAUCUUCAUGGAGUUGCAGGCCCUGUGCUCACACAAACCUUCACUUCUGUGUGGCCUGAGGGCUGGCUGGCAUUCACUGGCCCUCCUCAGAGCCUCCUUGGAGAAGCAGAGUUGGAAAGGCACAACCAAAUGAACACAUCCCUCAAUGCUUUGUUGAGCCUAGCAUAAACAACCCAAGCAAUGAUGCUUCCAUUUCUAUCAGUAUUUAUUCCACUGUGUGAUAUGGUUAGAUUCAAUCUGAGCAGCCCUUUGUACUGUUUCACAGCAGUUUUCUUUAGCUGUCAUUUUAGGAGUAAGAGGAUACUGUCAAAAAGUAGUGUGUUCAUUAGUCAUUGGAAUGCUUUCCCAGAAAGAAAUGGGCAAACUGAUUUGUAUCAUGACCACAGUCAGGAUUGCAGUAGUUUCCUAUGGAUCAGUACUGAAUUUGGGAUUAAUAUGUUGUUCACUACAGCUGUCUGUACCUUAAAGUUUUGUCAUAAUACUAUUCUUUUUAAUUGCAGUAUUUUUUUCCAUUAUCCAUCCUAGUAUAGGAACGGGACUGAAAUCUGCAGCACUGACAAUUCUGUGUGUUCUUGUUCAUGCCUUGCUUUGGUAGCUUUUAGAAGAUGCUGUCUCUGUUUCCACUCUCAUCGUGACCUGCAUUAAAUUCACAGCCUGGUGUGGAAAAGGCAGAUGCCCUGGACUUACCUGUGUCAGCUCACUCACAUACACACAUUCUUCAGGAUGGUUGUGGGUGGGAUCUGUGAAGAAUACGAGAAUUUCUGUCCAUUGGUUACAAAAGGAUACUAACCUAUUAAUGUGGACUAGAUAGCUCAUUUUUGAGCAGCUAAGUACAGGUGAAAAGAAUUCCACCUUAACUGAAAGGUGUUUUCACAUUCAGGAAACUGGGCUGAGCUGUUUCAGACUUGUCAGCUGCUUGGUGCCUUUGAACGUGCUGAUGCUGUUUCCCACAAAACAGUUUGUCCUGGCAGAGCCAUUGUCUCCAGUGCAGGGGAAGAAAUGCAUGGUGCACUGUAGGUAUCCUGCAGCAACAGCAAUGUAUAAUUUGACCUAUUGAUAAAAGCCAUUUUUACUCCCUUUUUUUUUAGUUUUAUGCAGUCCAUUUGCACUGUUCUUCAUUUAGACUCCGAUAACUCUCGGCUCUGAUAGAAGGGAGGUGAGCUGGGCCCAUCAUCAGAAGCCAGCAGCCCCUGACUUCUCACUGCAUCUUUGGCUGAUGCAGUGGUUCCUUACUAUCAUUAUUAACUCUCUGCAAGAGAUCCCAUAUCUUGCUGGGCUUUUCCCACCUGUACAGGAGCAGCCAAGCUGUUCAGUGUCUCUGUGCUUUGCAAGGUAUCAAGAACAGCACCCAAAGAGAUGCACAGAAUAUUUAGUAUUAUAAAUCACUUUGCUGACAGAAAGCACAGCGAUAAGAGCUCUUACUAUUAGUAACAGGCCUAACAAGUGUUACAUCUAUAUCAAAGGCAGUCCCACAGUCACUGGAGAGUCAUAGGACCGCACAGGUUGGAAAAGACCUUCAAGAUCAUCAAGUCCAGCCACCAACCUGACCUGCUGAGUGCCAUCACCACACCGUGUCCCUCUGCCAAUCAAGCCCUGUACUUUACUAAAAUGAUGAAAGGUUUCUAAAGUGAAUUUUGAGGGACUGGGAAAGCCUACAUAAUAUAAAGCCACUGCUUUUCUAAGCAAUGCAUCUGUGUAAGUCAGGAAUAGGGAAAAGGACUUGCCAGCUGGACAAGGCAAGAAAAUAUUUGUUUCUUUCUGAACAGUCUGACAGCAGGACUAGCUGCACCCUCCAGAAAAGGCAGAUGGAGGUGCCUGGUUUUACUUUGCAGGCAUACUCAUGCUGGUGGCUUCAGGAUGUGAUAUUCUGCAUCUGGAAGAGGGAGGUUUAAGGCAGAACAAUAGCACUGUUUUUGACCUGUCGUAGUGAGGACUCUCUUGCUGAGAGAGAAGAAAAAAGACUGUCACCACUGUUCCUAAAUUCCCCCUGAUCCUCCCUCUUCACAUUGAACAAGCUUAAUUUUCAUUCUGCAGGCACCCAGCCUCACUUCCAAGCUUUGUACCCAAGCAGGUGCCAGAUUACAGCCAUUGUGGGAUGUGACAGAGAGCACAGUGGGAUCAGGCUGAUUAUAGUCAUAGGAAUUUGCAAGCUGUUAAAACACUGGAGAACAUCCCCACUGCAGAAAGAAAAAGACUAAUUGAUGCACUUUAAUUGGUUUUGUUGUUUGAGUUAGAAGAACAACAGUAAGCAAACCUUAUUAUUUGUUACCUUUUAACAUUUCUUUCUUUUUAAAUCUCACUGCAGUGACAGUAAGACUAAAUACAUCCAGUUUCUGUGCACUAGAUGGAGCUGCCCAAGUGAGGCAUGGGGGCACCUGAUAUUUGCUAAAUUUACUGGGUGCACAGUCUUAUUACUCUUAGUGCAGAUUCAUUGGAGAUUCAUGCUGUUAUAUAACUUCUGAUCAUGCCUGUAUGUUUCCAAAGCUGCAACAAAUUGGAUGGCUGCAAAUGGAAAUAGAGAGAGACCAGGCUGCAACCCCUAUGCUGUAAGUUUGAACCUAAUCAUGAGCUAAAAUAACAGAAAAUUAGUUUUAGCAUUGCUUGGUGUUGCCUUGCCUUGCCUUCCUUUCCCUUCUCUUCAUUAUUUAUUUGUGCUAUUUGUCUUCUCAGUAAAAAUGUAAUCAUGUCUGAGAAAUUUUCACUGCAUUUCACAGCCUGUAAGAAUAUUUAAAGCACACAGGAGCACAAACAAUGAACUGUUGUUCCCACUGGCAGCCCUUUCCCGCAGCUCCAUUAGUGACUUGUCAAUAAACAACCUGGUGAUUUUUAGAAGGUGCAUAAGAAGAGACGUUCUUAAGCCAAGUACUUUGUUAUUCCAUCUAUGAACAUAGACGUAGAGACACUCCACAUGUUUUUGUGGGCCAGUGCAGAGCCAUAAUCCAGUUUUUCACAGACAUUCACUUUGUAUACUGCUCUUAUAAUAAUUUGAAACCUUCUCUAUUUGAUGUCUGACUUGUUCCAGCUUGACUCAAAACUCCACAGAUUUAUCCAUGGAGAAAGCAUGUAGGUGAAACCAAAAUCAAUCUAAAAGUGUUCAGGACUGUGUUUUCAUUCAAAAUCUUAAACAACUAUUCACGUUUUUCAGCCUUCAGAAACCAGGACAGUGAGCCUGAAACAGUGUGACUAGAGAAGCUCUACUGCACUGCUGCUGAUCAUGCCCAUCUCAUGCCAAGGAGAGGAGCCAGAGACUGCAAAGUGGCAACUCGGGAAAUUGCAAGAGGAAGCAGCUCAUCUUACUCAGUUCCUUCUCAGCAUGUAGCAAAUGGAUGUUGAAUGCAGACAAGUUUGAUCAAGAAAAGAAAUCUUCACCUGUUCCUGAUAACCUCACAAAACCCUCCAGCUGGUGAGGGGCCAAGAACAGAUAACUCUUAAGAUCUGAGGAAAAACAAGCAGGAACAGAAGAGUAGCAAGCCUGCUUCAGAAUAAUGCCCCAUAAAAGAGGAAAGAGAAUAGUGGGACUUAUAAAUGCAUGGACUCUGGCUCAAGCAGUGCAAAAACAGAGGUGCUGCAAAAGGGCAAGGCAGUACGUUGGCAGGCCACAGGCACGCAGCACAUUGGAGAUCCAGGCUGAGGAGACACUGCGAUCAGUACAAAGCUGUUUUCUGACAGAAAGUAACAGAGGUAUUUUAACAUCCGUGCAGAGAAGAAUCACCCAAUAGGGCCAACUAUAGAGAAGUCCAUUGAAUUACACCUACAUACUAAAGCUGAGCCAACGCUUCUGUGAGUCGCUCCUGUUGUUUCCCAGUGUGCAUGGCUCUCAUGAACUCAAGGUCACGCUGUCUGCCUGGGUCAGCACUGAACAAAUCUCUCACUGCCAGCAGCUCUGAGCUAGCCUUGCUGGAAAUUCCAGCAUGUCAUUCAGGCCCAUUUCUCCCAUAGCCUUGCCUUUCCUUUAUCAUAAAUCCAGAGAAUUUCAGUGAUAACUUUCUCUUUCACCUUUACAGUAUUUUGGUAGCUUUUGCUUAGGGCAGCUUUUUUGCUACAGAGAAGAAAAAAAUAAUCUGAAAUGAAUUACACAGGCCCAUGCACACACCAAGUCAGAUUCUUCUCAACUGAAGGAAUUUUGACCAUCUGGAAAGAAGAACAAUUAACUUUUAUAUUUACACCUGUUUGCUCAUAUAUCAGGACACUGAUUGUAUAAUUUGCAGCUGCUGUGUAGAUGCAGUACAGUAUGUGCUGCUGCAUUUUCCCAGUCUUAAAGUUCCCUAAUGCAAUCAGGUAUGCUGGGAUCUGUGGGUUGUGUGACAUUCCAGAAUAAAACGGAGAGCCAGUUGCUUUA